CGAUGUCCGGGUUCGGGAUUCACGGCCAGUCAUCGGUCGCGCUUCCUUAGAUGAAUUGGCUGCGCCGGAGCGAGCAGUGACCUUGUCAUGAAUGUCGAGGUGUGCUGUCUUUUGGUCCGAGCGCAAGAUCCUCCUCUCUGUUGGGUGGGAUCAGAACGCGCGGCCUAGCGUCGUUGCGACUUCUACACAUGACCUCACGGGGGUGGGACGACCCGCUAGACUUAAGCAUAUUAAUCAGCGGAGGAAAAGAAACUAACAAGGAUUCCCCUAGUAACUGCGAGUGAAGAGGGAUUAGCUCAAUGUGUGAAUCGGGUCGGGAUUAGCCCCCGUCUCGAGUUGUGCACUAUAGACGCCGGAUCAGCGUUUGAAGGAUCGAGGUGGAUGUCCGAUGAAACUCGGUGCCAUAGAGGGUCAUAGUCCUGUACUUGCCUUGUCAUCCUUUGCGCAUUUGACCGGUGUUCUGCGAGUCGCGUAGUUUUGUAUUGCUGCGCUAAGUGGGAGGUAGAGCCCUUCUAAAGCUAAAUAUGGCGACGUGACCGAUAGCACACAAGUACCGCGAGGGAAAGGUGAAAAGCAACCAUGCAGAAUGGGUUGAAACAGCAGUGAAAGCGCUACUGGGAUAAGGGCUGGGGAUUGCUUGUGUCGCUUGCGCGUGCUUUAGUGCUGUGCUUGUGAACGGCGUGCUAUCGUUCGGAUGGGGAGAACAGGGCCUCGGGAAUUCAGCUGGAUCCGUCCAGUGUUGCAGCCCGGGUGCCA
rnacentral:rRNA from 1 species